CCUACGGGUGGCAGCAGUGAGGAAUAUUGGUCAAUGGGCGGAAGCCUGAACCAGCCAAGUAGCGUGCAGGAUGACGGCCCUACGGGGUGUAGACUGCUUUUAUACGGGAAUAACGCGCCUUACGUGUAGGGCUUUGCAUGUACCGUAUGAAUAAGGACCGGCUAAUUCCGUGCCAGCAGCCGCGGUAAUACGGAAGGUCCGGGCGUUAUCCGGAGUUAUUGGGUUUAAAGGGAGCGUAGGCCGCAUGUCAAGCGUGCUGUGAAAGGUACGGGCUCAACCCGGGCCUUGCAGGGCGUACUGGCGUGCUUGAGGCCGCGGGAGGCAGGCGGAAUUCGUCGUGUAGCGGUGAAAUGCUUAGAUAUGACGAAGAACCCCGAUUGCGAAGGCAGCUUGCUGCAGCGGAACUGACGCUGAUGCUCGAAAGCGCGGGUAUCGAACAGGAUUAGAUACCCGUGUAGUC
rnacentral:rRNA from 1 species